rnacentral:tRNA from 1 species
UCUUCAAUAGCUCAAUUGGUAGAGCAUACGGCUGUUAACCGUAGUGUUGUUGGUUCGAGCCCAAUUUGGGGAG